GACGAACGCUGGCGGCGUGCUUAACACAUGCAAGUCGAACGCUGAAGCCCUUUCGGGGGUGGAUGAGUGGCGAACGGGUGAGUAACACGUGGGUAAUCUGCCCUGCACUCUGGGAUAAGCCUUGGAAACGGGGUCUAAUACCGGAUAGGACACAUCGCCGCAUGGUGUGUGUGUGGAAAGUUCCGGCGGUGCAGGUUGAGCCCGCGGCCUAUCAGCUUGUUGGUGGGGUGAUGGCCUACCAAGGCGACGACGGGUAGCCGGCCUGAGAGGGUGACGGGCCACACUGGGACUGAGAGACGGCCCAGACUCCUACGGGAGGCAGCAGUGGGGAAUCGUGCGCAAUGGGCGAAAGCCUGACGCAGCAACGCCGCGUGGGGGAUGACGGCCUUCGGGUUGUAAACCUCUUUCGACCGGGACGAAGGGUGACUGACGGUACCGGUAGAAGAAGCACCGGCUAACUACGUGCCAGCCGCCGCAGUAA
rnacentral:rRNA from 1 species